UGACCGGACCUCGUCCCCGCGCUGACCCUGCGAGCGACGUGGGGGUGGGAGCUGGGGCGAAUGAACCAGGGGGAGCAGAGUUGUGUGGGAUCCCAAGGCAGAUGCCGGCCUGAGGGAAGAAUGGAAAGCGGCCUUGACUCCCUCCCGGUGGUCCCACGCCAGUGAGACCCCAGAGUCCAGGCUGGAACGCGGGGCGCCCCGGGUCUGGAGACGCAACUCAGGGGAAGUCGGCGGGACGGCAGAAGAGGCAGUACGAAAAUAUGUCCCUGUGGGCAGCUCGGCCAAGGCCUGGUGCUCUGGAGGGCCACUGGAGAGAAGCCUCCAAGUCGUAACUCAUCUUUAUCAUCCCGGCUGAGCCUUGCCAGAUAAACUGGGCUAACCCUUGCGUGGCUGCCGCCCGGGGCGAGGGUGGAACAGUGACAGGCGGCUCCCGUUGAGGUUAAAUAUAUAUAUACAUACAUACAUAUAUAUAUAUGAUUUUUGUGCUCUCACAAAUUUGUGACGUUGACACUCUUUCUCCUGGUGUACUUUACAAACGGGCUGAUAUUUUUUUUCUACUGAGCCAUCUUCCAUGAAGGCUGACUCACCAGAGAGGACACUGGACUACUGGGCCACCUGAUCCUUACCUGUAACCUGCAAGCUACAAUCAACUUUCUGUUUCCCAAGAAGCUCUUUUCAGGUAUUUUAGGUAAGGUAAUGAAAGUGGACUAAUACAGAUGGAAACAACUGAAUUAUAUCUACAGAUAAAUGGAUAAACAAAAUUUGGUCGGUCUGUCUAUCUAUCUAUCUAUCUAUCUAUCUAUCUAUCUACAAUGGAAUACUAUGCAACCUCGAAAAAGAAUAAAAUUCUGAUACAUGCCACAGUGUAGAUUAGCCUUGGAAACAUUAUGCUAAGUAAAAUAGGCCAGAAGUAAAAGGACACAUGUUGCAUGAUUCCACUUAUUUGAGAUACCUAGUAUGAACAAAUUUCAUAGAAAAGAAAAGUAGAAAAAAGAAAAGAAAAGUGGAAGGGUAGGUGUGAGGUGCGAUGGGUUCAGCUGCCACUUGGGACACCUACUUCCCAUAUCAGACAGCUUGCUCUGCUUCCAAUUCUAGCUUCCUGCUAAUGCUUACCCUGUGAGGUGGCAGAAGAUGGCUCAAGUACUAGAGUCCCUGCCACCAAUAUGGGAGACUCAGAUAGGGGUCCCUAGGUCCUACUUUCCAUCUUGUCCAGCUCCAGCUGUUGUAGGCAUUUUUGGAGUGAACCAGCAGAUGGAAACUCUCUCUCUCUCUUUCUCUUUCUCUCUUUUCCCUUCUGCCUUUCAAAUAAGUAAAAAUAAAUAAACUUUAAAGAAAAGGAAAGUCGAAUGAUAGUUACCAGGGGCUGGGGAAAGAAGAAAUAGGAAGUAAUUGCUUAAUGGGUGUAGAAUUUCAGUUUGAAAUGGUGAGAAAAAUUCUGUAAUCAAAUAGGGGCGAAAAUUGCAUAGUAUUGUGCAUAUACUUAAUGCUACUGAAUUGUAUAUUUAAUUUAAUUUAAUUUAAUUUAAUACUGAAUUGUAUAUUUAAAAAUGCUAAAAAUGAUAAAUUUUAUGUUAUGUACAUUUUUAUGCAAUAAAAUUUUAAUGAAUUCCAAUUAUUUUUACUUUUUAAAAAUGUGGCUACUACAGGGGAUUCCAAUUCAAUUCCAUCAAGAUGGCAUGUACCAAUGCCAUCUCACUAGUCAAAGUGAUCAAUUUCAGUUCACAAUUGAUCAUACUGAUAGGUCUAAGAGUCAAAGGGAUCACAUAAACAAGACUAGUGUCUGCUAAUACUAACUGAUAGAAUAUAAAAGGGAGAGAAUGAUCCAACAUGGGAAGCAGGAUACACAGCAGACUCAUAGAAUGGCAGAGGUCCUAAACAGCACUCUGGCCUCAGAAUCAGCCCUUAAGGCAUUCGGAUCUGGCUGAAGAGCCCAUGAGAGUAUUUUAGGCAUGGAAAGCCAAGACACUCUGGCAAAAACAAAACAAAACAAAACAAACAAACAAAAAAAAACA